GAGACUCUGUGCGCGUGCAUAUCAAUAAGCGGAGGAAAAGAAACUAACAAGGAUUCCCUUAGUAACGGCGAGUGAAGCGGGAAGAGCUCAAAUUUGAAAUCUUCAAGGUUCUACCUUGACGAAUUGUAGUUUAUAGAAGUGUUUUCUGUUAGUGGAGUGGCAAAAGUUCUUUGGAAUAGGACAUCAUAGAGGGUGAGAAUCCCGUAUUUGGUCAUUCCUCCUAGCGUUGUGAUACACUUUCAACGAGUCGGAUUGUUUGGGAAUGCAGUCCAAAAUGGGUGGUAAAUUUCAUCUAAAGCUAAAUAUUGGCGAGAGACCGAUAGCGAACAAGUACCGUGAGGGAAAGAUGAAAAGAACUUUGAAAAGAGAGUUAAACAGUACGUGAAAUUGUCAAAAGGGAAGCGUUUGACACCAGUGUUGUUUUCUCGAAAAUCAAUUAAAAAGAGUUGGAUUUUGUAUUGUUAAGACCUUAUCAGCUUACUGUACUUUUUUCUUGCUCUUUUUAAUGCACUUUUCGUUUAACAAGUCAACAUCAAUUUCUUUUGUUGUAAAAGGGUCAUUGGAAGGUGGCUUUCACUUCGGUGAAAGUGUUUAUAGCCUUUGGCUUCUACAAUCGGAGAGAUUGAGGUCUGCAGCGUAGAUCCUUCGGGGUUAGAUACGUAGAUGCUAAGCUAUAGUUUUUUAUAGACAACUUGUUGACUAUGAUUAAUCAUGUAGCUUACUCGUUUACGCUAUUUUACCUACGCUUAGGAUGUUGACAGCAGUAUAGACUGU
rnacentral:rRNA from 1 species